UGCACAGGCUGCUAGUGGAGAGCUAGCUCAGCCAGUAACUCCUCUGAGAUAGCUGCUAUUGCAUUUUAUUGCAGCUCUGUGCUGGAUCUGAAACAGUGCCUUAGCAAUGAAAAUCUCCCCAUGAGAUACUGGAAUAUCUCAUUAGCAAAAUUACUUUUUCCAAGAGUGGUUUUUGUGUAAACAUAAAGCCCUUCAUUUACAAAGAGAGCGUUUCAGCAAACAUCUCUUAUUCCUAUUUUAAUGUAAUUUGCAAGAACAUGAAUUUUUUUUCUUGUACCCAUAUGGAGAGGAGCAAGAUCCUUCAGGAGUUGUCUGAUGAGGUACAUUUUUCCAGCAAUGAAACCUAUUUGGGGGGCUUCUUCACUAACCAGUUUAAAGUGAUUUGUAUGAUCUGGAGAGAAUUUUACACAUGCUAAGUGUGCCUAAACACCAACUACAGAUUCUUCUGGUUUUACAAAGGAUGGAAAGAUGAGUCAAGUCACAAUUGCAUCCCAGAAGUGCCAAAUCCUGUGCUUACACCCAGCUUGAAUCCACCAUUUUAAGUUCAUAAUGUGAAGUUGGUUGGUGCUGGUCCCUCACAGCAAGACAAUGGAUAUUGGGCAGGAAAUGAACUCUAUGACAGAGGUGUAGAUUUGGCAGAGCACACUUUGCUGUAUUAAACAGACUCCUGUCUGAGAAACACCAGCUUCAGAGAAAUCCUGCAAUAAGAACUAAGAAGGGGGAAGCCCUAGAAGAGAACUACAGACAAAAGCCACUUGAUGUCUCCGGCUGUCACCACCCAGGAGAGGCCGCGCCGGGCAGCUCUGCCCCUCAUCGCUUGGGUAAGGACUCCCUCUCCUGGAAAAACGGCAGAAACGGCGCGGGACAGCGCGGAGGGGGAAGGGGACAGCGACGGCAGCGGGACCCGCCUCGGGAUCCGCCUCCGCCCGUCCCACGAAAAGCUGAAAAUCUGCUGCCACCCAGCGCCGCGGCCGCGCAGCGCACGGGCCGCGCCGGGGCCGCCCCGAACCGG